rnacentral:rRNA from 1 species
CCUACGGGAGGCAGCAGUGGGGAAUAUUGGGCAAUGGGCGCAAGCCUGACCCAGCAACGCCGCGUGAAGGAAGAAGGCUUUCGGGUUGUAAACUUCUUUUGACAGGGAAGAGUAGCAGACGGUACGUGGCGAAUAAGACACGGCUAACGACGUGCCAGAAGCCGCGGUACUACGGAGGUGGCAGGCGUUGUCCGGAUUUACUGGGUGUCCAGGGCGUGUAGCCGGGUUGACAAGUCUGUUGUGUAAUCCUGCGGCUUAACCGCAGAACUGCAUUUGAAACUGUUGAUCUUGAGUACUGGAGAGGCAGACGGACUUCCUAGUGUAGCGGUGAAAUGCGUAGAUAUUAGGAGGAACACCAGUGGCGCAGGCGGUCUGCUGGACAGCAACUGACGGUGAGGCGCGAACGCGUGGGGAGCAAACAGGAUUAGAUACCCCUGUAGUC